GACGAACGCUGGCGGCGGGCUUAACACAUGCAAGUCGAACGGAAAGGCCCUGCUUUUGUGGGGUGCUCGAGUGGCGAACGGGUGAGUAACACGUGAGUAACCUGCCCUUGACUUUGGGAUAACUUCAGGAAACUGGGGCUAAUACCGGAUAGGAGCUCUUGCUGCAUGGUGGGGGUUGGAAAGUUUCGGUGGUUGGGGAUGGACUCGCGGCUUAUCAGCUUGUUGGUGGGGUAGUGGCUUACCAAGGCUUUGACGGGUAGCCGGCCUGAGAGGGUGACCGGCCACAUUGGGACUGAGAUACGGCCCAGACUCCUACGGGAGGCAGCAGUGGGGAAUAUUGCACAAUGGGCGGAAGCCUGAUGCAGCAACGCCGCGUGCGGGAUGACGGCCUUCGGGUUGUAAACCGCUUUCGCCUGUGACGAAGCGUGAGUGACGGUAAUGGGUAAAGAAGCACCGGCUAACUACGUG
rnacentral:rRNA from 1 species